CCCCCCCCCCUCUGGACUUUAUUCCCAUUUCCGUCUCUACUCUUCAUUUAAUACAUCUUUAUACUGGGGCAGUUGCCUUUCAGUGUAUUACAUCCCUUCCUAGCAUGGCCUCCCCUGACCCAGGUCUCCUUAAAUGGGAAUGAUGAUCUCUCAGACUAGAGUCUCUGAUGCUGGUCUUGAUGUCAAAAAUAAAAUUCUGACUCAUUUGGAGAACUGGAUACUUGAGUUUCAGAGAAGGGGCCGACAAGGGGGCCUAAACUUGGUUUGUGCUUCUCAUUGGUUGUCUCCUGUUUUCAUCUUUCUAGCAUGAUUAUUCUGGAAGCCCUUUCAGAUGAGGUACUGAUCUGGUGGGUUAAGGUGGAGUUCGUCCUCUUGGAGAAAUGCUGUGCAGAGAUGUCUGUGACGCCUAGGUAAUGGCUCUUGCCACUUGAACCUCCAGGCUGUGAUGAGCAGUGAAGAGCCACGUUCUAUCUCCCUGGCUACUAUGGGUUUUGUUAAUGCAGAGGAUAUCUCCUAUCUGGUGUUGGGCAGAUCCUAGGACAUCCUUCUGGCUUACCUGCAUUAACCUGUGUGAGCAGCUGUCAACUUACUGGAGGAAAGAAACUGUCCAGAAAUACUGAGGCACUUAAAUAUUUUUAGACCAAUUAGACUUCUUUAAUGUAAAUACUUGUUCUUAUGAAAAGGAUUCCAAUAAAAUAUUUUUUUUUUUUUU